UACGAAGGUCCCAAGCGUUAUCCGGAUUUAUUGGGUUUAAAGGGUGCGUAGGCGGCGCAGAAAGUUGGGUGUGAAAUCCCUCGGCUCAACCGAGGAACUGCGCCCAAAACUACUGUGCUUGAGGAAGAUAGAGGUAAGCGGAACUUACGGUGGAGCGGUGAAAUGCGUUGAUAUCGUAAGGAACACCUGUGGCGAAAGCGGCUUACUGGGUCUUUUCUGACGCUGAUGCACGAAAGCCAGGGGAGCAAACGGG
rnacentral:rRNA from 1 species